UACGGGGGGGGGCAAGCGUUGUUCGGAAUUACUGGGCGUAAAGGGCUCGUAGGCGCCAACUAAGUCGGACGUGAAAUCCCUCGGCUUAACCGGGGAACUGCGUCCGAUACUGGAUGGCUUGAGUUCGGGAGAGGGAUGCGGAAUUCCAGGUGUGCGGUGAAAUGCGUAGAUAUCUGGAGGAACACCGGUGGCGAAGGCGGCAUCCUGGACCGAUACUGACGCUGAGGAGCGAAAGCCAGGGGAGCAAACGGGG
rnacentral:rRNA from 1 species